GUCUAUGGCCAUGCCACCCUGAACAAGCCCGAUGUCUGAUCUUGGAAGCUAAGCAGGGUCAGGCCUGGUUAGUACUUGAAUGAGAGACCACCUAGGAAGACCAGGUUCUGUAGGCA
rnacentral:rRNA from 1 species